rnacentral:rRNA from 1 species
CCUACGGGUGGCAGCAGUGGGGAAUAUUGCACAAUGGGGGAAACCCUGAUGCAGCGACGCCGCGUGAGCGAUGAAGUAUUUAGGUAUGUAAAGCUCUAUUAGCAGGGAAGAUAAUGACGGUAUCUGACUAAGAAGCCCCGGCUAACUCCGUGCCAGCAGCCGCGGUAAUACGGAGGGGGCAAGCGUUAUUCGGAUUUACUGGGUGUAAAGGGUGCGCAGGCGGGCCUGCAAGUCAGAUGUGAAAGCCCGGAGCUCAACCCCGGAACUGCAUUUGAAACUGUAAGGCUAGAGUGUCGGAGAGGCAGGCGGAAUUCUUGGUGUAGCGGUAAAAUGCGUAGAUAUUAAGAGGAACACUAGUGGCGAAGGCGGCCUGCUGGACGAUGACUGACGUUGAGGCUCGAAAGCGUGGGGAGCAAACAGGAUUAGAUACCCCUGUAGUC